rnacentral:rRNA from 1 species
GAUGAACGCUGGCGGCGUGCCUAAUACAUGCCAGUCGAGCGAACAGACGAGGAGCUUGCUCCUUUGACGUUAGCGGCGGACGGGUGAGUAACACGUAGGUAACCUACCUAUAAGACUGGGAUAACUUCGGGAAACCGGAGCUAAUACCGGAUAAUAUUUCGAACCGCAUGGUUCGAUAGUGAAAGAUGGCUUUGCUAUCACUUAUAGAUGGACCUGCGCCGUAUUAGCUAGUUGGUAAGGUAACGGCUUACCAAGGCAACGAUACGUAGCCGACCUGAGAGGGUGAUCGGCCACACUGGAACUGAGACACGGUCCAGACUCCUACGGGAGGCAGCAGUAGGGAAUCUUCCGCAAUGGGCGAAAGCCUGACGGAGCAACGCCGCGUGAGUGAUGAAGGUCUUCGGAUCGUAAAACUCUGUUAUUAGGGAAGAACAAACGUGUAAGUAACUGUGCACGUCUUGACGGUACCUAAUCGGAAAGCCACGGCUAACUACGUG